GAAGAUUCACUGCUGUGAUACAUACAACAACUAGCUUUCCAUCAGGGUCUCAAGAGCUGCAGAGCAGUUUAUUUCUGGAUAUAGCACUAUAUAAGUUUUUCCAUAGAUAGAUAGAUAGAUAGAUAGAUAGAUAGAUAAAGAACAUCAAAACUACAACUGAUUUGGUAAGGAUGGGAAAGAAUGAUUAUCAUCUAUAUUUUAGAAAAUAUAUUCUGGCCGGUUACUCAGGUUAGGUAACUCUUGCAACAGCAAAUAGAUUCUUUGCAGAAGGUGAGGUGAGGUGAAAUUGGGUUUAACGUCGUGCUUGAGAAUAUUUCGCUCAU